AGGGGACGACGUCAAGUCAUCAUGGCCCUUACGCCCAGGGCGACACACGUGCUACAAUGGCGCAUACAGCGGGUAGCUACCUGGCAACAGGAUGCCAACCUCUAAAAGUGCGUCUCAGUUCGGAUUGGGGUCUGCAACCCGACCCCCAUGAAGCUGGAAUCGCUAGUAAUCGCGCAUCAGCCAUGGCGCGGUGAAUACGUUCCCGGACCUU
rnacentral:rRNA from 1 species